rnacentral:lncRNA from 1 species
GCCGCUUCGUCGACUUGUUUUGAUGGCAAUGGCGUUGACUCUACUCUUGUCUCUGUUGCUACAGCGUCUAGUCUCUCCACCAUUGAAGGUUGCUUCAGUUGAUAUCUAAUUGCUUCACACACGUAGUUGGAGCAUAACAUCGUGGUAACCUUCCCUGUUCUUCUUUUCACGUCCAAUUCCGCAUGGAUUCUGGUCGCAACAUACGUUGCCCAG